AUUGAACGCUGACGGCAUGCCUUACACAUGCAAGUCGAACGGCAGCACGGGUGCUUGCACCUGGUGGCGAGUGGCGAACGGGUGAGUAAUACAUCGGAACGUACCUUAUCGUGGGGGAUAACGCAGCGAAAGCUGUGCUAAUACCGCAUACGCCCUGAGGGGGAAAGCGGGGGAUCGCAAGACCUCGCGCGAUUAGAGCGGCCGAUGCCUGAUUAGCUUGUUGGUGGGGUAAAAGCCCACCAAGGCGACGGUCAGUAGCUGGUCUGAGAGGACGAUCAGCCACACUGGGACGGAGACACGGCCCAGACUCCUACGGGAGGCAGCAGUGGGGAAUUUUGGACAAUGGGGGCAACCCUGAUCCAGCAAUGCCGCGUGAGUGAAGAAGGCCUUCGGGUUGUAAAGCUCUUUUGUCAGGGAAGAAACACCGGCUCUAACACAGUCCGGGAAUGACGGUACCUGAAGAAUAAGCACCGGCUAACUACGUGCCAGCCGCCGCCGUAA
rnacentral:rRNA from 1 species